rnacentral:lncRNA from 1 species
ACAAAUUUCCUUUCUCACUUUACUUUGAUUCUUUCUGUAGAGGUGUCAACUACACUGGGAUCCACUCAACUAGAUGAUAACAAAAGCAAAAUAAUCACAUAUUUUGUGGCCCCCUGCCUCUGCUAAUCAGGGGAUGGUACUAAAGUCUCUUAAGAGACAUUAACAGAGCAGCUACUGAAGAUGAUAAACAUAUGAGAUCUCACACAGCUCUUGUAAUAUACAUUAAGCCCAUAGGAAUGGCUUGGGAUCUUGCAGUUAAAAUACCUCACAGACCACUGCCAUGGCCAUGUGCUCCUUCUCCAGUCCCUGGCCCGGCCCCUGUAUACAAUAUCUGCAGCUUGCAGCAGGCUGUAGCUGUACUGGUGUUACAUGUGACCUGUGUGCUGUGGCUGGUACCAGCAUUGUGGAUUAACCUCACAUUUAGGGGGUGUUUGGGAAACACCUGUUAAAAUUUAACACCUGUCACAUCGGAUGUUUGGAUGCUAAUUAGAAGUACUAAACAUAAGCUAAUUACAAAACUAAUUGCACAGAUGGAGUAUAAUUCGCGAGACGAAUCUAUUAAGCCUAAUUAGUCCAUGAUUUGACAAUGUGGUGCUACAGUAACCAUUUGCUAAUGAUGGAUUAAUUAGGCUUAAUAGAUUCGUCUCGCGAAUUAGCACAAGGUUCUGCAAUUAGUUUUAUAAUUAGCUCAUGUUUAGUCCUCCUAAUUAGCAUCCAAACCUAGUGGAGGUGGCUGUAGUUGCAGAGUACAUCA